rnacentral:rRNA from 1 species
UACUCCUACGGGAGGCAGCAGUGGGGAAUAUUGGACAAUGGACCAAGAGUCUGAUCCAGCAAUUCUGUGUGCACGAUGAAGUUUUUCGGAAUGUAAAGUGCUUUCAGUUGGGAAGAAAGAAAUGACGGUACCAACAGAAGAAGUGACGGCUAAAUACGUGCCAGCAGCCGCGGUAAUACGUAUGUCACGAGCGUUAUCCGGAUUUAUUGGGCGUAAGGCGCGUCUAGGUGGUUAUAUAAGUCUGAUGUGAAAAUGCAGGGCUCAACUCUGUAUUGCGUUGGAAACUGUAUAACUAGAGUACUGGAGAGGUAAGCGGAACUACAAGUGUAGAGGUGAAAUUCGUAGAUAUUUGUAGGAAUGCCGAUGGGGAAGCCAGCUUACUGGACAGAUACUGACGCUGAAGCGCGAAAGCGUGGGUAGCAAACAGGAUUAGAUACCCUGGUAGUCCACGCCGUAAACGAUGAUUACUAGGUGUUGGGGGUCGAACCUCAGCGCCCAAGCAAACGCGAUAAGUAAUCCGCCUGGGGAGUACGUACGCAAGUAUGAAACUCAAAGGAAUUGACGGA